UACGGAGGGUGCGAGCGUUGUCCGGAAUCAUUGGGCGUAAAGGGCGCGUAGGUGGCCCGGUCAGUCUUUGGUGAAAGCGCGGGGCUCAACCCUGCGUCGGCCAGGGAUACUGCCGCGGCUCGAGCACUGUGGAGGCAGGCGGAAUUCCGGGUGUAGCGGUGGAAUGCGUAGAGAUCCGGAAGAACACCGGUGGCGAAGGCGGCCUGCUGGGCAGUUUGGCUGACACUGAGGCGCGACAGCGUGGGGAGCAGACAGG
rnacentral:rRNA from 1 species